UACGUAGGGUGCAAGCGUUGUCCGGAAUUAUUGGGCGUAAAGAGCUCGUAGGCGGUCUGUCGCGUCGGCUGUGAAAACCCGGAGCUCAACUCCGGGCCUGCAGUCGAUACGGGCAAACUGGAGUGUUGCAGGGGAGACUGGAAUUCCUGGUGUAGCGGUGAAAUGCGCAGAUAUCAGGAGGAACACCGGUGGCGAAGGCGGGUUGCUGGGCUGACACUGACGCUGACAGCGCGAAAGCUAGGGGAGCGAACGGG
rnacentral:rRNA from 1 species